rnacentral:rRNA from 1 species
GCCUCCACGCCCCAGUGAGAAUGCCCUUUAAACCACCAGUGAUCUAAAGGAGCAGGUAUCAAGCACACUCUUAAGUAGCUCAUAACACCUU